rnacentral:rRNA from 1 species
AUUUUAUGCUCUGUAAUUGGAAUGAUGGGAAUGUAAAACCCUUCCAGAGUAACAAUUGGAGGGCAAGUCUGGUGCCAGCAGCCGCGGUAAUUCCAGCUCCAAUAGUGUAUAUUAGAGUUGUUGCAGUUAAAAAGCUCGUAGUUGGAUUUCUGCUGUGGUCAUCCGGUACCGCCCGUAUGGGUGCGCACCUGGUUUGGCUCCGGCUUUCUUCCUGUAGCCGUCCGCGCUUAAUUGCGUGUACUGUGUUACGGAACUUUUACUUUGAGAAAAAUAGAGUGUUUCAAGCAGGCUUGUCGCCCUGAAUACUUCAGCAUGGAAUAAUAGGAUAGGACCUUGGUUCUAUUUUGUUGGUUUCUAGGACCAAGGUAAUGAUUAAUAGGGACAUUUGGGGGCAUU